CCAAAGGCCCUUCUCAGGGCCAAAAAAAAAAAAAAAAAAAAGAAA
rfam:Oryctolagus cuniculus chromosome 12, whole genome shotgun sequence.